UUUUUUUAAUAAUGGGACCGGAAGCCCGAUUUUUUAAUUUUUUUUUUUAUUUUUAUUUUUUUUUCUAGCGAAAAUACAAGUAGCAACAGUUAUGGAGAUUCGCUUUCAUUAUCCAGUGAGCUAACAUGUGAGCAGUUCAAUGGAACAGCUAGGCUGACGUACAAACUAAAGUCGAGCAUGUCCUCUGCCAAUCACUGUCAGCACUCUUAGCCUCAGAAUCAACAGACACAACAGACAGGCUUGUACAACAUGUCAGCGUGCAGGAGGAUGCUUUACCUGGUAAAGCACAGGAGCCUGUUGACGCAUGUCCGGAGAAAUCUGACUACAUGGUCUCCCGUUGGAGCUGCUUUCAAUGCCAGACCUCACAGGAAACUGGACCUGUUUCAGAAAAAUGUGGGUUUGUUUGGAGUGCCAGAGCUGAGCUGUCCUGCAGGCUUUCAGGUGGCCACAGAGAAAGCUCUGAAGAACACGGAGCAUCUGGUGGAGAAAGCCUAUUCUUCUUCUCCAGGAGUUCAGACAGUCCAGUGCUUUGACCAGCUCUCAGAUGAACUGUGUAAAGUGGCCGAUCUGGCAGACUUUAUAAAAGUAGCUCACCCCGAUCCAGCUUUCCGCGAGGCUGCUGAGAAGACCUGCAUCGAGAUCGGCACAGUCGUGGAGAAACUGAACACUAAUGUUGAGUUAUGCAAGAGCCUGAAGAAUUUGCUGGACAACCCAGACAUCGUGGCUCAGCUGGAUCCCGAUACAAGGCGAGUGGCAGACUUGUUCAUGUUCGACUUUGAAAUCAGUGGAAUUCACCUAGAUGACACACUGAGGAAAGAGGCGGUUGCUCUUCACGUGAAGUUGCUGGAUCUAAACAACGAGUUCCUGGUCAGGUCCCACAUGCCGAACAGGAUCGCCAGGUCUGCGAUUCCCGAGCACCUACAUCUGCACUUUGCAACAGAAGGAAGCUUCAUUCAAAUCGGGGGACUGCAUGCAGAUUCCCCCAAUGACUUGGUGCGAGAAAUCGCCUACAGGAUUUAUCUCUAUCCCAACGCAGAGCUGAUGGGGUGUUUGGAAGAGCUGCUGAAAUGCAGAUACAAACUGGCCACGCUGGUGGGCUACGAGUCCUACGGACACAGAGCCCUAAAGGGAACGAUGGCCAAAACCCCAGAGACAGUGAUGAGCUUUCUUCAGCUGUUAACAGACAAGCUGUCAGACAGAACAGCAAAAGACUUUAAGAUGAUGAGAGACAUGAAGAAGAAGCUCAGCCCUCGACAUUCUGAGCUCAUGCCCUGGGAUCAUCCAUACCUCAGCGGUGUCCUGCGUGCUGAAAGGUACAACAUAGAGCCCAGUCUGUACAGUCCCUACUUGUCUCUUGGUUCCUGUAUGGAGGGUUUGAACAAUCUCUUCUCUCAGCUGUACGGCGUCUCCCUCAUGUCUGAACAACCCAGAGCUGGAGAGGUCUGGAGCGAGGAUGUCCGCAAACUGGCUGUGGUCCAUGAGACGGAGGGAUUACUGGGAUACAUCUACUGUGACUUUUUCCACCGGCAAGAUAAACCUCAUCAGGACUGUCACUUCACCAUCCGCGGUGGGCGCCAGUGCCAGGAAACGGGUCAGUACCAGUUGCCAGUCGUGGUGCUGAUGCUGAGUCUGCCUCACCCUACCAAGGGCGCCCCCACCUUGCUCACUCCCGGCAUGAUGGAGAACCUCUUCCACGAGAUGGGCCACGCUAUGCACUCCAUGCUGGGACGCACUCGCUACCAGCACGUGACAGGAACCAGAUGUGCAACUGAUUUUGCUGAAGUGCCCUCCAUCCUCAUGGAAUACUUUGCCACCGACUAUCGAGUCAUCAGCCAGUUUGCACGACACUAUGAAACUGGACAGCCGCUACCCGAGAGUAUGGUGGCUCGCUUGUGUGAGUCCAAAAAGGUGUGUGGAGCUGCAGACACCCAGUUGCAGAUUUUCUAUGCAGUCUUGGACCAGAUCUACCACAGCAAACCACAGAACCGAUCUACCACAGAAAUCCUGAAGGACAUGCAGCAGAAAUUUUACGGCCUGCCUUACACGCCCAACACGGCAUGGCAGCUGAGAUUCAGCCACCUGAUUGGGUACGGGGCCAAGUACUACUCCUACCUCAUGUCACGGGCGGUGGCCUCGAUGGUGUGGAAACAAUGCUUCAUAGAGGAUCCUUUAAACAGGGAAAUGGGUGAGCGGUAUCGACGGGAGAUGUUGGCCCACGGAGGAGCUAAGGAGCCCAUGCUAAUGGUGGAGGAAAAGGCGUCCUCACUUAAAAGAAAGAUGGAAGCUGCUGAUCCAGCUGCUGUUGUUUCAGGUGGUCGCAGCUGCCACUGUUAUGGAGCUUUGUCAGCCCAAAGACAAAGCCUGUCCUGCUCUCGGUGAGCUCACUCUGCGGCGGCUACACAGUGCCCCUUACUAGUCCAGCCCUUAUUUGAUCUGCUUUUAAAGGUUAACUAAAGAAGAUAAUUAAAAAGAUAACGAUAUGGCUCUUAGUGCUUUUUGUGUACACAGGCGAUCAUGAAGGAGGGAAAGACUGAAAUGUUUGAUUAUAGGUUUGAGUGCUUAACGCUGCUGACUGUGCAGGGCUGAAAACACAGACCGGACCACUUUUGUGUUUCAGAUCAAACAAACUAAAAUAUUCCAGUAACUAUUCAAUAGAUUCAUCGUUCUCAGCAAAUCCUCAGGAUUUCUGUGACUCAAUUUUCUUGUUGUAACACCAUGACAUUCACAUUCCUGUUGUUUGAUUAUUGGGACCAAAUGGAUAGAUUUAUGACAAAUGUGUCACAGUAAACGUAAUAAUUUUGGUGAUCUGGUUACUUUUAUUCAAUUCCCAUAUACAGUAAAAUGUCAGUGGCCUCUCACAGUUGUACAUGGGAUGCCUGUUACGUUGUGAGUGCACCUACUAAACUGGCUGUGUCUUUGCUUAAGGUUUUUAGUGCUGAUCUAUCGGUAUGGAUGUGGUUGUGUGAUGAAAUUGCAGCGGCGCAUUAUGUGACCAACGCGGCAUUAACAGGAAUGGCUACUCAAUCGUUGGGUCUCCAGCUAUCUGUGUCCCUGUCGCAGCGUACAAUAAGGCCUUACCAAGCUGCAUUUAUGGGUGAAACCCACAGACACUCAUAUUCUGAUUAAUGCUAAGUAACAUGCUAAUAAAACUAGAAUUUCACUCCAAAACUGAAGCACACACUUGUGGGAUGGUGUGUACCACAGAGCAAGUCAUUAUAUUAGUCAGAUAACCUAUUAAAAUGAUCCAAAGGCACCAGCAGCACACACAUACAGCAGAGAGGUCCUUUAUAAAUGGAUGAGGCUAGCAGACAGGACCUCUCAAUCAGCGUGGUCACGCCCCUAACUCACUUAUUCAAGCAAAUAUUUAAAAUUAAAAAAAUCAUCCCACUCGGAAUUGCUAUGGAAAUUAGCCAUAGAGGCAAACAACAUUUUAUACCAGUGUUUAAAUAUGCUUUUCAAGACUGGUGAAAUAAGUUUAAUUUAAUACGGCAGUCUGCGAGAAAGAGCUUACGUUUGGAUGCUGCCUCAAGUGGCACCUAGAGGAACUGCAGUUUUCGCCAUUGUUGCAUUGCCUUCAUUUUUAAUCUCAGGAGGUUACUCCUUCGAACAUAAAUGUCUUUGAGAGUAUAGCCGGACACAAGGCAAGCUAACAGUUGCUGUGGCCUGUCUGGACAGGACAAAAGUGGAGAAGGUGAGAAGAGAGAGACACAGAUAGCAGGCAUGCUGCAGAGACGGCCCACCAUCGAGGACUUUGUGGACGCACUCGUGUCUGAGCUCAACCCAAACUUUGAGACCUUCAUCAUGGACUCUGAGAGUUGAAGGCCAGUUUUGGCUGCAAGGAAACAAACUUUAUGAGGCAAAGAUUGAGAGAACGCUGGAGAAAUCAAAAACAUGCCGUCAUAUUUCAUGCUCACUGUUUCUAAAGAUCUUCAUGUUUUCUGCAAAUGAACAUAAUUUAUAUUUAAUAUAUUUGUCAUGUUCUCUUGCUGCACACAGUUAAAAAGUUAAAGAACCCUGAAACUGUUGUAAAACCUUUUUUUUUUUUUUUUUUUUUUUUUUAACCAUUUAAACUUAAAAAGUUUAACACUUUAAACUUUUGAAAGAAUGAAUAACAAAAUGCAAUCAUUUUCACAGCUUAUACCCCUCAAAAGAUAUUGUUCUGAGCUUGUGUAACAGCAGAACAUUGUUUUGUUUUGGCUUUUUCCUGAUCAAAUCAGCAUGAGGAAGAAUACUUAAUCCGUUCUUCCUGUCAUGUGGACAUUGUUUAGGCUUUAAAUUAAUACCGCUCCAUCUGUUUUGUCUGUCAGGAGUUUGGGGAGGGGUGAAAGAGAAGAGAUUCAGCUUGUGAGUUUUUUACAGCACAAUAGGAAAGAUUUGGUCAGUUCUUAUCAUAUUAUUCAUAAAAGAUGUUGCAACAGUAAAAAACACAAAGCAACACAGUCUCUGAAAGUUUAAGAAGUUGUGCAUAUUUACGAAAAAGCUUCAGAGUCCAGCUCCACAGCGAGGUUGUUUGCAUCUGUUCCAACAGUUUCACACUGUAGUCGUCAGCUGGGCUCUGACUGCAGCUGCCUUUGCUUGCCUUGUGCCAGCGCCGAGAUGCAGAUUCACGUUGCUGUUGAAAGUGUAAACACGCGAUCAGACGGGCGGAGCCUGAGCGAGCUGGGUGGCUUGAACCACACAGAGGCUGCAACACUGUGAUUUGACAGUUAUAUGGAUGUGAUGUCUCUCCAACAUUGCUUUGCUUUCAGAUCUUUCCAAUUAAACCUGAAGCAAAUUAUAUCAGCAGAGAUUAAAUGUAACUGAAGUGCAGCCCCAGUAUUAAUGUUAGUGUAAUUUUAGGCAUCAAAACAAGUUGAGUUGUCACACUGAGUGCUAUGCCGCCUGUACAGAUGGCUUUGGAAGAAACAUAAGAUGUUUAGAUGAAAUCAUUCUUUAGUCAUUUUUUUUUUUUUUUUUUCCCAUGGUGAUCAGCUGUCAUAUUUAUAAAAUGUUUUUUAAAAAAUUAGAAGAAUAGAUGGCAAUAUAUACUUAGCUGUUCAUCUGCUGGUUAACACAAAAAUCUGAUCAGCCAGUUUCAUGGCUGCACUGCAUUUAGACUAGAUCCUGCUGACGUUCAAACUGAGCAUCAGGAUGGGGAAUAAAGGUGAGUUAUGUGACUUUGAA